GCUUGUUACUUUUGUUCUGUGAAAUCAUUAACUCGAUCCAGUAACAACAAAUCUCCCAAAUCUAAGGUAUGUGUCAUGAGUCACUUGUAUAUGCAACCUUUUAUUAAUAAUGAGAAACUUUUUGGUAUACAAACUGUAUAUCAAAAAGUAGAGAAUCUACAUAAUACGAUUCUCCAUGAACAACACCCAAUCAUUUAUCCAAAUUGAAAUCUCAAGGGUGCACCAAAAAGAAACAAGAAAUGAGAUGUUUCUCCUCAAAUGUACGUGAUCAUUCUCCAUUCCAUCUAAAGUUUCUACUUUUUUUCUUCGACUAGAUCCACAGAAUUGCUUGUGGGACGACAUCCCAGGCCUUUGACUUCUCUUCCUUCUAAUUUUUUUUCAGUGGAACUUGCUCCAUCAUUGUGCCUGGCAUCGCCCAAUGCAGUCCUAACCAUCUCAAAAUCUCACACCACAAGCAAGUCACCACUAAAUAAAGUAAGAGGAGGAGGUCUACAUCUUCACUUGAACAUUUGCACAUGAAGCACCACUGUACAUAUG
rnacentral:lncRNA from 1 species